rnacentral:lncRNA from 1 species
UAUGUUUGACCGGUGAUGACGUGGACACUAUUUUAAAUUACAUGGCAUUACGUGUGGCAUUUAUUACACGGUGGCAAGCCACGCGUUCAAAACGACGCCGUUUUGAUAGGGAGAAAAAAAAUAAAAAAAUAAAGAAAAAUAUUUUGGAAUGUUGACAAGGCAAUAUCGAUAGGAAGACUUGGAGGGCUUUGUGGUGCGGCUUUGAUCGCCGUCAUCGUCGCCGAUUCAAUCACCCAGAUCCAACGGGUGGAUCGCCG